UUCUAAUAGAAAUAAUUAUUAGUAAAAUCUGCUCAAUGAUAAAUUAUAUAGCCGCAACUUAGUUGUGCUAAGGUAGCAUAAUCAUUUGUCUAUUAAUUAUAGACUAGAACGAAAGAUUUAACAUUUAAAUUACUUUUAGAUAAAUUUAUUUUAAAAUUAUUUUAAAUAUAAAAAAAUAUUUAUUUAACAAAAAGACGAUAAGACCCUAUUAAACUUUACUUAAGUUUUACUGGGGAAGUAAAUUAAUUAUAAUUUUAAUUAAUAUAAUUUUUUAAUUGACCUUAUAUAAUAAAUUUUAAGAUCAAGUUACUAUAGGGAUAACAGCGUAAUAAUUUUUUAAAGAUCUUAUUAAAAAAAUAUUUUGCGACCUCGAUGUUGAAUAAUAUUCUUUUAUAUGCAACAAUAUAAAUAAGAAAGUCUGUUCGACUUUUAAUUAAUUACA
rnacentral:rRNA from 1 species